rnacentral:rRNA from 1 species
UAGGGAAUUUUCCACAAUGGGCGAAAGCCUGAUGGAGCAAUGCCGCGUGCGGGAUGAAGGUUUUCGGACUGUAAACCGCUUUUAUAUAUGAAGAUUAUGACGGUAGUAUAUGAAUAAGGAUCGGCUAACUACGUGCCAGCAGCCGCGGUGAUACGUAGGAUCCGAGCGUUAUCCGGAUUUAUUGGGCGUAAAGAGUUGCGUAGGCGGCUAAGUAAGCAAAUAGUGAAAGAGCGUGGCUUAACCAUGUAAGCAUUAUUUGAACUGCUUUGGCUAGAGAGCGGAAGAGGUAGCUGGAAUUAUUAGUGGAGGAGUAAUAUCCGUAGAUAUUAGUAAGAACACCAAUGGCGAAGGCAGGCUACUGGUCCGUUUCUGACGCUCAGGCACGAAAGCGUAGGUAGCA